UUCCGGUUGAUCCUGCCGGACCUUACUGCUAUCGGGGUGGGACUAAGACAUGCGAGUCGAGCGUCUCUAGCUAUGUUGAGACGCGGCAGACGGCUCAGUAACACGUGGCUAACCUACCCUCAGGACGAGGACAAACCCGGGAAACUGGGGCUAAUACUCGAUAGGUGAGAAUGUCUGGAAUGAUUUCUCACUCAAAGGACCUUGGAAACAUGCUUCCAUUGUCGCCUGGGGAUGGGGCCGCGUCCGAUCAGGUUGUUGGUGAGGUAAUGGCUCACCAAGCCUAUAACCGGUACGGGCCGUGAGAGCGGUAGCCCGGAGAUGGGUACUGAGAUAAGGACCCAGGCCCUACGGGGCGCAGCAGUCGCGAAAACUCCGCAAUGCACGAAAGUGUGACGGGGCUACCCCGAGUGCCAUCCGCUGAGGGUGGCUUUUCCUUGGUAUAACUAGCCGAGGGAAUAAGGAGAGGGCAAGACUGGUGUCAGCCGCCGCGGUAAUACCAGCUCUCCGAGUGGUAGGGAUGAUUAUUGGGCUUAAAGCGUCCGUAGCCGGCUUAGCAAGUCUCCUGUUAAAUUCAGCGACCUAAUCGUUGAGCCGCGGGAGAUACUACUAGGCUAGGAGGCGGGAGAGGUCGACGGUACUUCUGGGGUAGGGGUGAAAUCCUAUAAUCCCGGGAGGACCACUAGUGGCGAAGGCUGUCGACUAGAACGCGCUCGACGGUGAGGGACGAAAGCUGGGGGAGCGAACCGGAUUAGAUACCCGGGUAGUCCCAGCCGUAAACGAUGCGGGCUAGGUGUUGGGGUGGCUACGUGCCACUUCAGUGCCGCAGGGAAGCCAUUAAGCCCGCCGCCUGGGGAGUACGGCCGCAAGGCUGAAACUUAAAGGAAUUGGCGGGGGAGCACCACAAGGCGUGAAGCUUGCGGUUCAAUUGGAAUCAACGCCGGU
rnacentral:rRNA from 1 species